UGAUGUGCGUUUCCAGUAACCGCAGUCUGAGCUGCGUUUUGUACAUACCGCAUUUCGAUAUGCGGCCAACAAAAAACGGGAACCGCAGAUCAAGCUGCGGCAGCAAAUUUUCCGGCCAACACAGAACUCUAACUGCAGAUCAAACUGCGGCAACAAAGUUUUCCUAAACCGCCUUUCGAUUUGUGGUGGCUAGUAACCACAGAUCCAGCUGCGGUAACCGCAACGCAGGUGAGACAGUACACCCCCCCGAAACCCAAACGACGGCANACCUUAACCGCAGAAACAGUUGCAGUUCCGUUUCCGACACCCUUCCCUUUUCGCACCACGAUCCCGC
rnacentral:lncRNA from 1 species